rnacentral:lncRNA from 1 species
CGGCAGCCCGGUACCCCACGUGGAAGGGGCGGAGGAGGAUGAAGGGCCAGGGGAGCAGCGGACCCCGAGCCACCGCGACAGGACCCCGGCCCCUGCUACCGAGGCCCCCGCGCUUCCCCAGGGCCUCCCGGGCGGGGCCGGGCCAGGGAGUGCCCGCCGCGCCCGGCCCCUGGCCCUCCCGCCCGCCGCGCCUGUGUGCACUUUCGCGGAGCCACUAAUCCCCCGAGAGAGCCGAUUUGUAGUGAGGAGUAUCUGGAGGGGGCGAGGCCGGCCCAUGUGGGGUUGUGUCAUUGGUUUGCAAAGAGAGACCCCGCCUUUGCCCCCCCCCAAAAAAAAGGAGCGAGGAGUGAGCGAGCGGCGACCCUCACCUCGCCUCCCGCCUCGCUCCUGCGCAGCCGGCGGGCACCGGGAGCUGCGGCCAGCGCCGCUUCUUUCCUUUCCUUUUCUCUCCGUUUUCCUCCUCCUUCCCCGGAGGAGAAAACAAAUAAAGAAGAGCAAAUAGCCGGGAGGCGCUCGGCAUCCAGGACGUUCCCUCCCCCGAUCCAAGUUGGAAUUAGCAUCCUCUCGGGGGUGGCUCGGGAGCGGCCCGGAGGAGCCGGCGGCGGCCCGAGGAGCGAGGGACCGAACCGGGAGCCAUGCCGCGCUGAGGGGGGGCCGCACAGCCGCCGCCACCGCCACCGCCGCCGGGUGGGGUGGGAGGGGCGGGAGCCGCCGCCGCCGCCGCCUCCAGGGUGGGCGCCUUUCGCCGUGGACGCCGACCGUCCGGGACGAGACUGGGAGCAGCGGCGGAGGGCAGGAGGCUGCCCUGGGAGGCCAACUCCUUAAAUGCACACCUGACCGACGGGUACGCCCCUGCUGUGGGGCCAGGCAGGAGAGCAGCACCGGGGCACCCAGGACCACACACCGAGAAGUGUGAACCCAGCGUGGCCUGGCGUCCCAUCAGCAGGUGAGGGUCAUCUUUCAGGCCUGUUUCACUUCCUCAAAA